UACGUAGGGGGCGAGCGUUGUCCGGAAUUAUUGGGCGUAAAGGGCUCGUAGGCGGUUUGUCGCGUCGGGAGUGAAAUCCACUGGCUUAACUGGUGGCUUGCUUUCGAUACGGGCAGACUGGAGGUAUGCAGGGGAGAACGGAAUUCCUGGUGUAGCGGUGAAAUGCGCAGAUAUCAGGAGGAACACCGGUGGCGAAGGCGGAUCUCUGGGCCGUAACUGACGCUGAGGAGCGAAAGCGUGGGGAGCGAACAGG
rnacentral:rRNA from 1 species